rnacentral:rRNA from 1 species
AUGGACGGCAACAAGACUGCCGCCCGGCCGGCCAGCCUACGGGCGUUCUACAUCGCCCGCGCCACCGUCGUCGUCUUCGCCUUGGCCACAGCUGCCGACUACGUACUCGACCGCUACCACCUCUGCAGCAGCCAGAGCCAGGCUUCCUUCAUCCUGCCGUGCGUCAGGGUGACGGCGGCGGCCGCCGAGUGGAGGGCCCUCUGGCUCGCCAUGCUCUGCUGCGCGGUGCUCGAGGUGACCGUCGCGGCGCUGGCGCUGCGGCACCCAUGCCGCGCCCUGGCCCUCGCCUACCUCCACCGCGCGCUCACCAUCGUCCGCCACUACAUGUACGUCCGUGCCACCCUCAUCUUCCUCGCCGCCGACCCAGGAGUCUACCUCACCGAGAUCUGCAUCGGGAGCGUCUGCAACUUCAUAACGGACUACCACUUUAGCUUCAUGGGGCUUUUCCGUUUUGGAGGCGAGGUGUGA